UACAGAGACUGCAAGCGUUAUUCGGAUUCACUGGGCGUAAAGGGUGCGCAGGCGGUUGUGUGUGUCAGAUGUGAAAUCCCGAGGCUUAACCUCGGAACUGCGUCUGAAACUACUCGACUAGAGUAUUGGAGAGGGUAACGGAAUUCACGGUGUAGCAGUGAAAUGCGUAGAUAUCGUGAGGAACACCAGAGGCGAAGGCGGUUACCUGGACAAUUACUGACGCUCAGGCACGAAAGCGUGGGGAGCAAAAGGGAUUAGAUACCCCUGUAGUCCACGCCCUAAACGGUGCACACUAGGUCUUAGCGGAUUCGACCCCACUAGGGCCCAAGCUAACGCGUUAAGUGUGCCGCCUGAGGACUACGGUCGCAAGACUA
rnacentral:rRNA from 1 species